CGGAGCGCAGAUCGCGUCCGGUCUGCAAAUCCCAGGCUGUGACAGCGCAUUGUUCUGUGGAGUUGUGUGUCCGUCAUUAGUAUCUGUUGUUGAUGUUUUGGCCACUUGGUGAAGCAGAAAACCUGGCAACACAUCAUCAUAUAAAGUGAUGGCUUUCUCUACAUAACAUGGUACAACUCUCAGCACUUUUUCCCCUCCGUCUGGAAGGAAAGGUAAAUGAGUCACGGCACAAUGACAUUGUGCUGUCUCUCCAUUGUACACACAAUAAGACAAAAUUAGUAAAAAAUAAGACGAAAUUAAAUUGUAAUAAAAAUCAAAUUGGCAACAAAAUGGAAC